CCUACGGGGGGCAGCAGUGGGGAAUAUUGCACAAUGGGGGAAACCCUGAUGCAGCGACGCCGCGUGAGUGAAGAAGUACUUCGGUACGUAAAGCUCUAUCAGCAGGGAGGAAAAUGAUGGUACCUGUCUAAGAAGCCCCGGCCAACCACGGGCCAGCAGCCGCGGUCAUACGUAGGGGGCAAGCGUUAUCCGGAUUUACUGGGUGUAAAGGGAGCGUAGACGGCCGCGCAAGUCUGGAGUGAAAUCCCAUGGCUUAACCAUGGAACUGCUUUGGAAACUGUGCAGCUAGAGUGCAGGAGAGGUAAGCGGAAUUCCUGGUGUAGCGGUGAAAUGCGUAGAUAUUAGGAGGAACACCAGUGGCGAAGGCGGCUUACUGGACUGUAACUGACGUUGAGGCGCGAAAGCGUGGGGAGCAAACAGGAUUAGAUACCCUAGUAGUC
rnacentral:rRNA from 1 species